rnacentral:lncRNA from 1 species
UGCGGACGUCCCGGCUGCUACUCUGCCUGCUUCCCCCUCCCUCCCUCCGGCUGCGUCUCUGCGUCCGUCUCCCAGGGAAGAGUCCGGCUGAUCGGGCGGGAGGCGGCGGACGAGGAGCCCUUAUCCCGGAGGACUCGGGCUCCGACACAUGGAGGGGCGGAGCGACUGCGGGCGGACUCAGCAACAAUGACACGGACCGAGACAGCCAAUCAGCUUCCGACCUGCCCUCACGUGACCUCACCUCCUCCCGGUUAAAAACCAACCGAUCCCGCCUCUGUCCACCGGUCUGGCAUCAGUCCCGGUCCCGGUCCCUGUACUGGCCUUGCUCCCGGUGCAGGACGCUCCGGACGGUCGGGACUCCACCGGGACCCAGCGGAUCCCCAUGCCGGAUGAGAGGCCCUGAAGACGGCGAAAUGCCACAGGAAACACCGGGGAGAAAACCUGGAGCUCAUUAAGUUUGACUGUGAGUUUGACUGUGAUGUUCAGGAGUUCACAGGGACUUUAUUGAUCAGUUAUUGACAUUUAAUGAUUAGUUUUUAAUUGAACGACCAUCAUGUACUGGUAACUUAUGUAACAAUGAACAAAAAUAAAAUGAUUAAAACCCACAAGAAGCAGAAUUAACCAGUCUGUUCAUUCUGAUAUUAACUACAGGCCGAAUAAUGAAUAGUAUCCUAGACUCCUGGAAAAAACAAAGUUCAUAUUUACAGACAAAACUUCUCAUAUUAAAUACAGUGUUGAGUCAAUGUGCAGCUGAAAUGAAGCUGAAAAAUAUUGUAAAUAUUAGUACAAUUUAUGAAGAAUCAGGACUUUCACUUUCACUUUAGCAGUUAUGUUUUCCAUCUUAAGUUUCUCUAAAUAAUAAUAAUAAUAAUAAUAAUAAUAAUAAUAAUAACAAUAAUAAUAAUAAUAAUAAUAAUAAUAAUAAUAAUAAUAAUAAUAAUAAUAAUGAUCUUAAUUUGUGCAUUUAUUAACCCUCCGGUAUCCCGUCCAGCUAGGCCCUUACUAAGCACCAAGUGUGCCUUUUUGGCACACUUGUGGGAUAAUGUCAAAAAAAAUUUCAUACAGUUUGUUUUUAAUUCUUUUACACUUUUUUUCUAUUUCAUCAACUUGAGCCGUUAAUAAAAAUACCAAAUACUCAAUAACUGUCACAUUUUUUAACCCUUUAAAUGCUGUGUUUGUAAUGUAAACAAACCAAUUUUUUUGGAUGCAAAAAACAAAAAAAAAUAAAUCAAAAUUUUCAAUAUACUACAUAAAAAGUGGAUCACAUAUUAUUUGAUUUUUUCAUCCUGGCAUAUGUCAAUGAUUAACCCCAACAUCGGUUAAUUUGCAUUAUUAUUAUUAUUUUUGGCGCUAGGUCAAAUGUUCAAAAAUACUAGCAUCUGUCACCAAGUGUGCGUAAAAUGCACACCUAUAAAUCCAACUAUUAAAUAUUAUAUAUUGGUUAAUUUUUCUGCUCUAAUUUGAUUUUAUUUUUGUAAAUCAAGGUCAGCCCUAAUCACACAGAUCAAAUGGAAGAAAUAGUGCGUUUUAGGCACACUUGGCAGACAGAUGCUAGUCUGGUCAUUUUCUUUUGUUUACAAUGUGCACAUUUUAGUUGGUGGACAGAAUUUUAAAGAUCAUGCAAAAAUGAACAACUUUUGAAUUCUAACCUUAUUUAAAUUGUGAAAAAUAAUAAGAAGUUUUUUAACACGAAGUGCAAAGUGUGCCUAAAAGGCGCACCUGGAUACCAGAGGGUUAAAUUGACCUUACAAAGUGUUGUAUGACAAAAACAUAAUAAAAUCAUAACAUACACUUAUAUAAAAAGAAGAAAUGAUAAUCUGAAUUAAAACGUUAAUUCUCCAAAACAAACAUAUCUGUCAACAAGAAAAAACAUGCAAACCUCCAGUUACUUCUCUCUUAUCAUUUUAUCAUUUCUUUUCAUUUUCUCUUCUCAUCAGUUUUUUAAUUACAUACAGUCUAUGGCAGGCGUGUCCAGUCCUGGUCCUCCACAUCUACUGUCCUGCAUGUUUUAGUUCAGGGCUGUCAAACUCAGUUUCUUUCAGGGGCCAUUUUCAGCCCAGUUUGAUCUCCAGUGGGCCGGACCAGUAAAAUAAUAGCAUAACAGUAGGGAUGUCCGAAAUUGGCUUUUUUGCCAAAAACCGAUAUGCCGAUAUUGUCCAACGCUUAAUUUCCGAUUCCGAUAUCUACCGAUACCGCUGCCGAUAUAUGUGGGAUAUUAAACUAAUUUUCGGUAACAUCACAUAUCUCCUGUCAUGGAAUUAACACAUCAUGCCUAAUUUUAUUGUGAUGCCCCAGUGGAUGCAUUCUCAAAUGCAACAAGGCUUUUAAAAUGUAAACACUGUCUGUGCAAAGAAUACAUACUUCAACUUAAGUUGUGGAAAAAAUGCCAUAUUUAUUUAUUUUCUCCAUGAGUCUAUUACAGUGUGGCAACUCUACUGUACAAUUUUGAAAACUGCACAUUUCUUUCAGCUACAAACAAUGCUUCAUUUACGCGUCGGUAAAUGCCGGCGAAAUCAAGGCAUUAUUUUAUCGGUUUUAAUGAUAGGCAAAAAACCCAAUAACGAUAUUCACCGAUAUUACAUUUUUAUGCCAAUAUCGGGCCGAUAUUAUUGGACAUCCCUACAUAAUAGCCUAUAAAUAAUGACAACAAGUGCAAAAAAUAACAUUAAAUGAUGAAACUAUUUCUAUCCAAAACAAAAAACAUGUGAAUAACUGGAAAAAAACUGAAAUAUCUGAAGAAAAAUAAGUACAAGCCUCAACUUCUGAUCCUUACAUGUGUGUUACAGUUCAGAUCUACCGAGACACAAAACAGGCAGAAGAUUGUUGACACUGCACUUAUUUAACUUUAGACAUUCCAGGUUGUUCAUAUUUGUUCAGGUUAUUGACAUUUUAUUAUUAAGGCAGAUCGGAAUUGAAUGUUUUUUGCAAUAAAUCAAAGAGAAAAAAUUGCUGUUGCCGUUAUUUAGAGACAUAAUAUCAUAUUAUUUUUGUCACAUUAAACCAAGAAGAACAUCUGGAGUCAGUAUUUCUAGGUUAUUGUGCUGUUAUUUUUUACUUUGAUGCCCUUGACUGUUGUUAUCUUCAGGGUCAUUUUUGCAUUUUGCACUUUGUAAAUUCAUCUCGCGGGCCAGAUUGGAACUUUUGGCAGGCCGGUUUUGGCCCCCGGGCCGCAUGUUUGACACCUGUGUGUUAGAUGUUUCCCUCUUCCAACACACCUGAUUGAAAUGAUCAUCCUUUCAUCCAGCUCUGCAGAAGCCUGGUAAUGAGCGUCAGGUGUGUUUGGAGGACGGACACAACUAAAACAUGCAGGACCAGGACUGGGCAGCCCUGGUCUAUGGAACUAGACCAGGUGUGGAGCCUCAAGUGGACAUUUGAGGAACUGCAGGGCUUGGUUUUUAUUUGUCAGCCUCAGAGGUUCAUCUUUUACUAUAAAUUGGGUUCAAACUUUUUGUAAUUAAUGACAAAUUGUUUACAAAAUACAGAAUUCAUGUUACAUUCACUAUUAAACCUCACAUCUCAUUGGUUACUCAACUUCCUUUUUUAAAUAUUUGUUUGUUUUGGGUUUUGUUUUUGUUUUUUUUCAUCUGAUUUUUUUAUUUGUAAAGUUCUGGACUGUAUCCUUCAUCGACAGUCUCGACCAUGAAAUUAACCGAACAAAUGUGUCACUUUUAUCUGUUAGAGAUGAUGCAAACUCAUUAUAAAACAGUUUAAGUUUAGUCAGUGUACGAUAACGCCACAAUACGUUGCCCGUGACGACGAUGCAGAUAUGUCCGAUAUACUGGACGACUCUGAUCUAUGAUACACAUGUCUGAGUAACUGAACUCUGUUUGUAAACGCCUGGACUUGAACACCAUUUUCACCGAAUUUGGCCUCAAAUAACUGACUUUAAAGUACAUGAGCUUUUUUUUUUUUUUUCACGAUUUUUUGUUAAUUUCUUUGACUUUUCAUUUCCUGUUUAUUCUAAAGUUUAUUUUCUUCAUUUUGUCAGUUAUUUGUUCCAGUUUUGUUCAACUUUUUAUUCAUUUCUUUUGUUUUUGUUGAUCUUGAGGUUUUUUUUCCAUUUUGUCCUUUUUUGUCCAUUUUGUUGCUUCUUUUUGUUUAUUUUUUUCAUUUUUUUGUUUAUUUUUCCCAUUUUAUUUUCUUUCUUUUUUGUUCAUUUCAUUCACUCUUUUUUUUUAUAUAUAUAAUUUUUGUUUAUUUUGGUGCUUAUUUUGUUAUGUUUUUUUUUUUUUUUUUUUUUUUAAAUAUUGUUCUCAAUUUUUUUUUUUUAAUUUUCAUUUAAUUUUUUAAAAUUUCUUUCACUUUUGAUUUUGUUGCCUCUUUUUGUUUAUUUCAAAAUUUAUUUUCUUCAUUUUGUUAAUUAUUUAA